rnacentral:rRNA from 1 species
UGAGAAGUAAAAGUCGUAACAAGGUUUCCGUAGGUGAACCUGCGGAAGGAUCAUUAUAGAACAACCAACAUCAUAUCAAGGAAAGGAGAAGGUAGAGAGACUGUCGCCGAGUUAGACUCGUGCACGUCCCCUCGCCUUCGACUAUCUGAGAUAUGUAUUGACAUACACCUGUGCACCUUUUGUAGAUUUCUCCGCCUUCGAGAGAAGGAUGGUGGCGAUCUAUGUUUUCAUCAUAUCACACACAUCGUAUGGCCAGAAUGUAACAAACAAUCAUAAUACAACUUUCAGCAACGGAUCUCUUGGUUCUCGCAUCGAUGAAGAACGCAGCGAAUUGCGAUAAGUAAUGUGAAUUGCAGAUUUCCAGUGAAUCAUCGAAUCUUUGAACGCAUCUUGCGCUCCUUGGUAUUCCGAGGAGCAUGCCUGUUUGAGUGUCAUCGAAUCAUCAACCAAAUAUUCAUUUGUUUGGCUUGGAGUUGGGAGUUGCUGGCAGCGAUGUCAGCUCUCCUCAAAUGCAUUAGCGAUCGAGUUGGCUAGUCUUUGACGUGCACGGCCUUGGACGUGAUAAUGAUCGUCCUGGCUGGAGCGUCUUUCCUAAGACUAUGUACAUAGGUUGCUUCUAAUCAUGAAUGGAGAUGGAAAGGGGAGGGAAAAGAUACAGGGAAGUCUGGUCUUGGUCUAUCGAGCUUAGCUAUUAGGCAGUCUUUUGAUCGGAAAGGCUGGCGAACACAAGCAAGAUACAAGCACGAGCUCUCUAUCUAUCUACCUUUCUUUCUUUCUUCUCCAACAUUGACAUCGGACUUGACCUCAAAUCAGGUAGGACUACCCGCUGAACUUAAGCAUAUCAAUAAGCCGGAGGAA